GACGAACGCUGGCGGCGUGCUUAACACAUGCAAGUCGAACGGAAAGGCCCUGCUUUUGUGGGGUGCUCGAGUGGCGAACGGGUGAGUAACACGUGAGUAACCUGCCCUUGACUUUGGGAUAACUUCAGGAAACUGGGGCUAAUACCGGAUAGGAGCUCCUGCUGCAUGGUGGGGGUUGGAAAGUUUCGGCGGUUGGGGAUGGACUCGCGGCUUAUCAGCUUGUUGGUGGGGUAGUGGCUUACCAAGGCUUUGACGGGUAGCCGGCCUGAGAGGGUGACCGGCCACAUUGGGGCUGAGAUACGGCCCAGGCUCCUACGGGGGGCCGCCGUGGGGCAUCUUGCGCGAUGGGCGGAAGCCUGAUGCCGCAACGCCGCGUCCGGGAUGACGGCCUUCGGGUUGUAACCCGCUUUCGCCUGUGACCAAGCGUGUGUGGCGGUAAUGGGUAAAGACGCCCCGGCUAACUCCGGG
rnacentral:rRNA from 1 species